UAAGCGAGGCCAAAGGGUCACUUUUAUUGUUCAAGAGAAUGCUAACGUUCCACAAGACGAACAUUUAUUAGCUGGGAACUUGUUGGCAGAAUUUACAGCCCUUGGGGAAGAGGAGAGGCUCAUCAAAUGUCAACAUCUUGGUUUCCCCACAAUUAGGGAAGCCGGAGCCUCCCAAACAGGGUUCCCACUAUUCUAGCAGAAAUCGUGUCCAAAGCCGCUUUCCAGCCAAGAACAGGGGGCAUCCCAAGAAGGCAGCGGAAGCCUGAACACGCGGGACCAGCCGAGGGGGGCCCACUGUUUUUCUCCUCUUUCCCACGCGCCCAUGGCCAACCCCCUCCAAGCCCAGAAACCAGAGAGCAGCGAAGACGCCCGUCCAUCGUCCGGGUCCAGAAGGCCCAGCUGAGAUCUGUUUCAACGCACCCACGUGAGAGGGUUUCCAGUGUGUUUCCCCAGUUGCCAUGGCUUUGCUUUCUGCGUCAGGCGCUCUGUCUGUCAGACACGACAAUUGAAUAAUAUUUUUAUUUUUA